rnacentral:tRNA from 1 species
UGGUAACAGUGGGAGCCAAACCCACAUAUGGAGGUUUACAGCCUCCCGCCUACUCUUCGGCCAUCCUACC